GAUGAACGCUAGCGGCAGGCUUAAUACAUGCAAGUCGAGGGGCAGCACAGGUAGCAAUACUGGGUGGCGACCGGCAAACGGGUGCGGAACACGUACACAACUUACCUUCUGGUGGGGGAUAGCCUUUGGAAACGGAGAUUAAUACCCCAUAUUAUAUAUGAGCUGCAUGGUUUGUAUAUUAAAGAUUUAUUGCCGGAAGAUGGGUGUGCGUAUGAUUAGGUAGUUGGCGGGGUAACGGCCCACCAAGCCGACGAUCAUUAACUGGUGUGAGAGCACGACCAGUCACACGGGCACUGAGACACGGGCCCGACUCCUACGGGAGGCAGCAGUAAGGAAUAUUGGUCAAUGGACGGAAGUCUGAACCAGCCAUGCCGCGUGGAGGAUGAAGGUCCUCUGGAUUGUAAACUUCUUUUAUAAGGGGCGAAAAAAGGGAAUUCUUUCACGUCUGACGGUACCCUAUGAAUAAGCACCGGCUAACUCCGUGCCAGCCGCCGCCGUAAUAC
rnacentral:rRNA from 1 species